UACGAAGGGGGCUAGCGUUGUUCGGAAUUACUGGGCGUAAAGGGCUCGUAGGCGGCCAACUAAGUCAGACGUGAAAUCCCUCGGCUUAACCGGGGAACUGCAUCUGAUACUGGAUGGCUUGAGUUCGGGAGAGGGAUGCGGAAUUCCAGGUGUAGCGGUGAAAUGCGUAGAUAUCUGGAGGAACACCGGUGGCGAAGGCGGCAUCCUGGACCGACACUGACGCUGAGGAGCGAAAGCCAGGGGAGCAAACGGG
rnacentral:rRNA from 1 species